rnacentral:misc_RNA from 1 species
UGUUAAGCUGCCAAAACCAUUUAUCCAACAUCUUUCAUAUUUCCUUACGCAAACACAUAGAAAUCAGACAUAAUAAUCAAGAAUCUCCAAUAUAUAGGACAAACAGAAACAAAAAUGGUCUUUACAAAUCCAAAAUGUAACCUAAACGUUUUUUAGCCCCGAAUAAUGGUCUUCAACAAGAGUCUGAUUCAGUUUGUGCUUUAGGCUCUUUGUUCUUUAACAGGAGGAGCGAUUAACACAACCUGCUGCUGGCAAUGGUACAAAUAUCAACUAUAUUCAGACAGACAAUUCCUUUUUUUCCCAAUAAGACAUGGAGAAAAUUGAAUCUCGAAGGAAAAAAUAACUAAGGAAGUUAUAACAUUUACUGCCGUCAGAGGAAACCUCCAUCGGUCCAUUUGGAAUCUGAUUUUCCAGCAUGAACAGCAGCAUGAUUAUUGUUGGAUGCACUCUGGUAGUGAUUGUCGAAUCCAUCAUCCUGACCGUCAUCCCAUCCAGCCCAGUCAUCGUUCUUGUUGUUGGGUGCUGCUGCCGCCUUUGGAGGAUUUACUUUGCUUUUGUCUUCAUUGUCCCAAUCAUCCCACGACCCAGAGCUGACAGAAUUAACGUUCCUUCCAGAAGACUGGGCUCCUCCAGAAGCAUUCCAUCCUUUAGGAUCCUGAUUAAAGUCUUGAUAAUAGCCAUUCUUUUCACUUUCACCUCGUUGCCAGCUAUCAUUCUUCCAGGCUGGACUUUCCUUGGUAUAUUCCUCUACCUUCUGUGAAGCCAUGGCCAAGACUCCUUUCAUGAUACCCCAACUCUUUUGUCCAAUCUCACUUGUUUUUGCUGUGACAACGUUGACAGUUUCAUUAACCUUGGUAUCAUAUCCACCUUCUUUUACCUUAGAAGUCAACUCCUUUGUCCCCACUUGAACCACACUUGCAGCUGACUGUGCUGCCGUUGCAGCUAUCAUAGAUAACCUACCAAAUCCCUGAGUAACAGCAGAAAAAACAUCUCCUUGCUGAUUCAUGUUAUUCCUAGGCAUUGGGGCAGGAUUUGAUCCAAACCCAACAUACUUCCCUCCUUGAGAAGGCGGAAGCCCAUCAGGCCGGGACUCAUUCUCAGCCAUUUUCCUCGCAAAAAAGCUAUCUUUAUUCGCCGCUGACGCCUCAUACUGCUCCUUUGAGAUAUCAGCAGUCGACCUCGACCUAGCUGGUGCACCACCACUACUACCGCCACUCCUAAAAUCUCCCACCGUCUGAUUCCUCCGAAUAUCCUUAGUAUUACUACCACUAAACCCUCCAUCAUCAUUAUUAUCCCAACUAUCCCAUCCACCAUUCCUACUGCCACCACCGCUUGCGCCGCUGCUCAACGGUGGUCUACUACCAUUAUUACUAGCCGAUCCCCUCAGAACUUCCUUAACAACCGGCGGGUCUCUCCAGGGUUUCCCCUCAGCUAGGGAUUGGAUCCUGUCACGAUAAACAGUAGCAGCUUUUGUAUUGUAUUUGGUAACAAUAUCAGUUUCCUUCGGAAUCCCGUACUGUAAAACGAAUUUGUUGAAACUCUCGUUACCACCAAGCUCCAUUUUCCGGAUCUGGAUCUCAGACCAUGAAUCCAUGGUAACAGAUCGGACAAACGAGAUAUGUACCCCAAGUCCCCGAUGCUUACCGGAGCAUUCCAAGCACAUAAAAACUCCAUACGAAACUGAAGCCCAUUGAGGAUUCUUCUGAGAACAAUCAACACAGAUCUUGUUCCCCGGUUGAGCUUGAAGAUCUCGUAGCCUCCGUGAUGCCGCCAUCUGACCCGGAUCCGAUUCGGAAGUGACUCGAAAUCGGAUCUGUAAAGUGAUCGGAGAAUCGAAAAAUGAGAUCAACAAAGAGGAGAACUGAUCGGCCGGAGAAAUUGGGGUUUAAAGAGAGAGAAAAAUGGCCGACACCGUUAAAGAGAUG